GUGCCACGUUUGGCGUAACGAGGGCAGUUCGCAGUCCUGCGUGCAUUUCGAAGCGAAGUACAGCCAGAGAAACAGACAACGCGCUCCCGAACGGGCUUCGAAAAGGCUAUUUGGAGAAGUUUUAUGAGGGUCAAGUACUGAACUACUUUUGCUUCUUGCAUAAAGGCUACCUCAUUUAUCUGAAACGGGCGAGUUUAAAAUAUCAUUUUUCAUGGCUGCUCACGCUGAACAGGAGCGAC